GCCUCGUUGGCGCAGCUGGCAGCGCUUCACUCUCAUAAUCUGAAGAUCGUGAGUUUGAUCCUCACACAGGGCA
rfam:Salmo salar isolate Sally breed double haploid chromosome ssa16, whole genome shotgun sequence.